UACGAAGGGGGCUAGCGUUGCUCGGAAUCACUGGGCGUAAAGGGUGCGUAGGCGGGUUUUUAAGUCAGAGGUGAAAUCCUGGAGCUCAACUCCAGAACUGCCUUUGAUACUGAGAAUCUUGAGUACGGGAGAGGUGAGUGGAACUGCGAGUGUAGAGGUGAAAUUCGUAGAUAUUCGCAAGAACACCAGUGGCGAAGGCGGCUCACUGGCCCGGUACUGACGCUGAGGUGCGAAAGCGUGGGGAGCAAACAGGG
rnacentral:rRNA from 1 species